UACGAAGGGGGCUAGCGUUGCUCGGAAUUACUGGGCGUAAAGCGCACGUAGGCGGCUCUUUAAGUCGGGGGUGAAAUCCUGGAGCUCAACUCCAGAACUGCCUUCGAAACUGAGGAGCUCGAGUCCGGGAGAGGUGAGUGGAACUGCGAGUGUAGAGGUGAAAUUCGUAGAUAUUCGCAAGAACACCAGUGGCGAAGGCGGCUCACUGGCCCGGUACUGACGCUGAGGUGCGAAAGCGUGGGGAGCAAAC
rnacentral:rRNA from 1 species